CCUACGGGGUGCAGCAGUGGGGAAUAUUGGACAAUGGGCGAAAGCCUGAUCCAGCCAUGCCGCGUGUGUGAAGAAGGCCUUCGGGUUGUAAAGCACUUUCAGUGGGGAAGAAAGCCUUGGGGCUAAUACCCUCGAGGAAGGACAUCACCCACAGAAGAAGCACCGGCUAACUCCGUGCCAGCAGCCGCGGUAAUACGGAGGGUGCGAGCGUUAAUCGGAAUUACUGGGCGUAAAGCGCGCGUAGGCGGUCUGAUAAGCCGGUUGUGAAAGCCCCGGGCUCAACCUGGGAACGGCAUCCGGAACUGGCAGGCUAGAGUGCAGGAGAGGAAGGUAGAAUUCCCGGUGUAGCGGUGAAAUGCGUAGAGAUCGGGAGGAAUACCAGUGGCGAAGGCGGCCUUCUGGACUGACACUGACGCUGAGGUGCGAAAGCGUGGGUAGCAAACAGGAUUAGAUACCCCUGUAGUC
rnacentral:rRNA from 1 species